CCGUCAGCCUAAAACCCAUUGUUUGGGCCAGUGUGAAAUUCCUAAUUUUGUUGCUGUGCUUACACCACAUCACUAGGUCCACUCAAGAAAGACGGUCCCUGCUGUAUCCGAUGAUUUCUUAAGGUAUGCUAGAGGUUGCCUGAAAGGUAUGCUAGAUGUUGCCUGAAAAGGUGAUCGAGGGACCAAUGUCUUCCUGCCGGUGGGGUGAUUUUUGUAGCACAACAAAUUUUGACUUUGGAGCACAUGCUAUGGACUUCAAAAAUUAUGAAUUGCGCUUAGCUGUUUUUUCUUGUAAUCUUUGAUGCCAAUUUUCCCUUUAAGAUGACAUUGUGAGUUGUAGAUACACAUUCAAUGUUGGUUGGUAUUACUUAUUAGCACUAUUAUUAUACAGACUUAAUACAAUAUAUUGUGCCAGGAUAGAUGUUUUCUAUUUUAUAGUGAAACCAAAUCAAGUACCACUUUCGAAUUU